rnacentral:lncRNA from 1 species
ACUGCUUGAGCCACAUCCCCAGCCCCAAGUCUUUUGCUUUUAAAUGCAUUGUUUUUUAUGAUACCAAUUACCUUAAACUGAAAUCUGCUGUGACUUGUGUUAACCAAAACAUACUACCAUAAUUGUUAAACAAGCAGUAAGGAAACCUGAAGCUGUGUGACUCAUACAGACAUACCUCUCUUUACUGUGCUUCAUAGAUACUGCAAAUUUUUUAUUAAUUGAAAUUUUGUGGCAACCUGCAAAUCUGUUAGUGCUAUUUUUCUGACAGCAAGUGCAUACUUUGUGUCUGACUCACAUUUUGGCAGUUCACACAAUAUCUGAUUUGAUUUGAUUUGACUUGACUUAUUUUUGCAAUGCUAGGGAUUGAACCCAGAGUCUUGUGCAUGCUAGACAAGUGCCCUCCUACUGAGUUACACCACCAGCCCUCUCGAUAUUUUAAACUUUUUCCAUUAUUAUUUUAUAUAUUGCGGUAAUCUGUGAUCAGUAAUCUUUAAUCUGUUUGUUGUUUGGGGGCACCAUGAACAUACCCACAUGAGAUGGAAAACUUAAUGAAUAAAUGUUGUAUGUGUUCUCACUGUUCCAUCGACCUGUCAUUCCCCUACCCCUGUCACUCUCAUGGGGCCUCCAUAUUCACUGAGACACAACAAUAUUGAAGUUAAACUAAUUAGUAACCCUACAAUAUCUUCUAAGUGUUCCAGUGAAAGGAAGAGCCACACAUAUCUCAUUUUAAAUCAAAAGCUAAAAAUGACUAAGUUUAGUGAGGAAGGUAUCUUGAAAACCAGGACGGGCUAAAAGUGAGUUAACCAGGGUGUUAAUGAAAAUGAAGAGUUCUUAAAGGAAACUCAAAGUGCUGCUCCAGUGGAUGCAUGAAUGACAUCCUAUCAACAGGGAGAAAGUUUGAGUAGUCUGGAUAGAAGAUCAAACCUGCCACAGGCUUUAAGCCAAAGUAGGCGUUAAGCUAAAGCCUACUCCAGAGAAAGGCCCUAACUCUUUUUAAUUCUUUGAAGGCUGAGAGAGGUAAGGAAGCUACAGAAGAAAAGUUUGUGACUAACAGAGGUUGGUUCAUGAAUUUAAGGAAAGACGCAUCUUUAUAAUGUAAAGUACAAGGUGAAGCAGCAAGUGCUGCUGGAGAAUCUGCUGCAAGUUAUCUAGAAGGUCUGGCUGAGAUCUAGCUGAGGUAAAGAUGAAGGUGGCUACACUACAUGACAGGGAAGUUUUGUUUGUUUGUGUUUUGUUUUGGGGGUACGAGGGAUUGCAUCCAGGGUUACUUUACCACUGAGUCCCAUCUCCAGCUGUUUUCAUUUUAUUUUGACACAGAGUCACACUAAGUUGCUUAGGGCCUUGCUAACUCACAGGGCCUUGAACUUGAGAUCCUCCUGCCUCAACCAAGUCAUUGGGAUUGCAGGCAAAAAAACAAAAAAAACAAUCAAACCAACCUGUUGUUUUGCUACUGGGGAUUGAACUCAGAGGCACGUAACCACUGAGCCACAUUCCCAGCCCCACUUUUUAUUGUUUGAGACAGUAUCUUGCUGAGUUGCUUAGGGCCUCGCCAAGUUGCUGAGGCUGACUUUGAACUUGUGAUCCUCCUGCCUCAGUCUCCUGAGCCACUGAUAUUACAGGUAGGCACCACCACAUCUGGGCCCUGCUAGAUUUUUAAUGUAGAUGAAACAGCCUUAUAGAAGAAGAAGGUGCCGUGGAGUACUUUCUAGAGAAAAGUCAAUGCCUGGUUUCAAAGUUUACAGUCUCCAUGCAUGUUACUAUCUUUCUGCCUUGCCCAGGUAGCUACC